rnacentral:rRNA from 1 species
AACGAACGCUGGCGGCAGGCCUAACACAUGCAAGUCGAGCGCUCCAGCAAUGGAGAGCGGCAGACGGGUGAGUAACGCGUGGGAACCUACCUAGUGGUGCGGAAUAGCCCAGGGAAACUU